rnacentral:rRNA from 1 species
CAGUCGCCACGGUAAUACGGAGGGGGCUAGCGUUGUUCGGAAUUACUGGGCGUAAAGCGCACGUAGGCGGCUUGGUAAGUUAGAGGUGAAAGCCCGGAGCUCAACUCCGGAAUUGCCUUUAAGACUGCCGAGCUAGCAGGUGAGAGAGGUAAGUGGAAUUCCGAGUGUAGAGGUGAAAUUCGUAGAUAUUCGGAAGAACACCAGUGGCGAAGGCGGCUUACUGGCUCAUACUGGACGCUGAGGUGCGAAAGCGUGGGGAGCAAACAGGAUUAGAUACCCGAGUAGUCCCUGUCUCUUAUAC